CAUUAUGGCGGGCUGUGCGCAGGAGGCUUCGGCCUGCCGGUUCCUAUUCACCGGUUUACCAACCUGCGUACGGUUCGCCACCCCU
rfam:Pseudomonas batumici strain TCM B-321 Contig_15, whole genome shotgun sequence.